CUUAUUUUAAUCAAUAAUCUAGAGAAGAAAAGAAAUGAAGAUAUAAUUAAUCAUAAGGUUCGGAGAGCUCCAUAUCAUGUGACCCAAGUACUCUCUACACAUGACUUUCCUGCCAAAUGAUAUCCACGCUCUUACUGAACUUCUCUUGGAGUGGGGAAUAGGGGUCAAGCCUUCUGAGAUUGUUAACAUUGCGGUAUAUGGUCUCCUUAAGGUUAUCCCUGACACUUAGCACAGAAGAGAUCAUGAAUAUAUGCUAAGGAAGGAAGAGAAAGAGGAAGGGAAGAAACAGAAGAAAGAAAAAGAAAAAGAAAGAAGGAGCAAGCAAAUGAAUGAAUCUAAUCUUCUGGUAGUUUCCUGUCCUGCAUCAUUCCUGGAAGAUCCCCAACAGUGAUGCAUUGAUCUCAUUGACAAAUUCUGUCAGUGCGCUGAUUAACCGUUCCCAAGCUUAUCACUCAGGGCAUAAAUAACUGUGGUUCUUCAAGAUAUUAAUUCAUUCACAGUGAAUAAUUUGCCUCCUAUUUGAUGAUAAUACCAACUAUUGACAAAGCCAAAAUUACUCAACUUGCCAAACAAAAAAACAAAAUCACUUAUUUAGAAAAUGGCUCAUCUGGGAAAGAAGCAGCUACUUUUGAAAUUGACACACAUAAGGCAAAAUUUGCUUCUUUAGGAAAAAAAUAUACAUUUCAAUGGUUCACUUGGCCUCAGUGCCCAAGUUUUUAUGAAGACAAAAGAAAUGGAAAAUGAAGGAAAAGUGAACACAGAGUAGGUAAGCACAUUGAUUUUCUUCAUCACUUGCAUUCUCUUUGAUGAUUUUCCCUGUCUCUAUUUCUAAAUGGAGGGUUCUUAUUAAUCAGGCUUGUGGAAUUGGAAAAGAAAUUCAGUCCAAAAAAUAAAAUUAAUUGUAAACUGGAAACAUUUUCUCACAAAAAGCAACAGUUUUUCUUCCUUGUCACAGCAAAGAUCAUCUUUACAGACAUCCUGUUUUUGAGAUACUGCCCAUUGGCAAUAGAACUCAUAACUGAGUAAAAUUUCCCCAUUUUUAUGAACCAGUAUUUCAAGCUCUGAAAAUGCUACAAUAUAUAAUUUUUAUCAGACAUCCUGUUAGAUAAUCUUAAUAGUAAUAGGGCCCGCCACUAUUUUUUUCUUCUUGAAAGCCUUUUACAGUCUGACUCCAGCAGCUAUAUAUUCAGCCACAUCACCUACCAUUUAGACUUUUGAUUUCACCCUCUCACCCCAAUCUGCACCUUCUCCAGUCUUCCCUAGAUCAGUGAAGGAUAUGACCACCCAGUCAAUGACUCAAGUGAAAAAUUUCAGAAUUACCUUUGAGUCCUCUCUUUGACCCACUACAUCCCAUCCAUCACCAAACCCUUUGACACUGCUUCCAUAACAUCUGCCUAGUCUAUCCAUUUCGAUCCAUUCAUACUACUACCUACCCACACCACUGUUGUCAUUCAGCCGGGCUGCCACAGAAAUUUCUAUUUGGUUUCUUCUUGCUUGUCUAUAGUUUCCACACAGAAGCCAAAGAGAGCUUUGUUAAAACAUAAAUCAGAUCACAUCACUCCCCUGCUUAAAAGCCUCCAGUGACCUUUUAUUCCACUUAGAAUAAAAUCCGUACUCUUGCCCCUGUGUCAUCUGGCCUGCGUGGAGUUCUUUGAUCCUAGCCUUUACUGCCUUAUCAUCUCUCACUGU